GAUGAACGCUGGCGGCGUGCCUAAUACAUGCAAGUCGAGCGAACAGACGAGGAGCUUGCUCCUUUUACGUUAGCGGCGGACGGGUGAGUAACACGUGGAUAACCUACCUAUAAGACUGGGAUAACUUCGGGAAACCGGAGCUAAUACCGGAUAACAUGUUGAACCGCAUGGUUCAACAGUGAAAGACGGUUUUGCUGUCACUUAUAGAUGGAUCCUCGCCGCAUUAGCUAGUUGGUAAGGUAACGGCUUACCAAGGCAACGAUGCGUAGCCGACCUGAGAGGGUGAUCGGCCACACUGGAACUGAGACACGGUCCAGACUCCUACGGGAGGCAGCAGUAGGGAAUAUUCCGCAAUGGGCGAAAGCCUGACGGAGCAACGCCGCGUGAGUGAAGAAGGUCUUCGGAUCGUAAAACUCUGUUAUUAGGGAAGAACAAAUGUGUAAGUAACUAUGCACGUCUUGACGGUACCUAAUCAGAAAGCCACGGCUAACUACGUG
rnacentral:rRNA from 1 species